rnacentral:lncRNA from 1 species
UUUAAUAGAAAACAAAGCGUUAUUUUCUCUUUCUUUCCCUCCUUUUUUUUCUUUUUAACUUUUUCUCCUUCUUCUUCUUCUUUUUUUUUUUUUUGAUAAGGACCCCCCCUCCUUUAUAAGAUUUUUGUUGUUGUUGUUAACAUAUGGGAGGAGGGGAGGGAGCCUUCAGGUCACCUGGAAUGAGGUGCCUCUCCCAAACACAACAUCCUGCCUCUCUGAUUGCAGUUCCAGAACCUGGGGAAGAGACCCAAGUAGGAGUAGAGGUAGCCACCCAGGAGUCAGAGCUGAAGUGAGGGGUUUCAAACAUAGACACUCACCCCGGUCCGAGCCCCCAGGAUCCCCACAUUUCCUCAGCUCCUCUCUCCCCCUGCAGUAUUCCCUGGAAUGGAAGUGUAACUUUCUCCGUUGAGCAGAGCUAUUCCUGCUGGGAAUGACUCCAGCUCUGGGAUGCUGCAGGUCCUGUGAGCCACACUAUUGUGCGAGGCCCAGGAGCAGCUGGCUGUAACAUCUUAGGGCUCUUCCUAGAGGAACGAGGGUCCGUGUUGUGAUGUCACUGAAUCAAGUAUUUACCGGGUGCUUCCAGUAACUCCCUAUGAUGUCAUAGGAAGGAUUUCCUCAGAGGCUACUUCCGGUACUGGUUAGAGAAAAUCAUUUCCUGUGAGGUCCCAACAAAAGGCCUCAAAGGUCGCUUCUGUAGAUGGCAGAGGCAUGUACUUCCUGUGGAAUCUCGAGGUCACUUCCUGUGGCAUCAUAGGGAUGAAGCAUGCGCUUCCGGUGUUGGACAGUGGCCAGUCCCUAAGAUUCCCCCUCCUCCCUCUACACUCCUCUUUGGUGGGUGUUGGCCCUGGGUGAGGGGGAAUCCUUAGGAAGAAUGGGACUUGGGUUUAACAUGGAAGAUUGUAAGGGGGAAAAAAAAUCCUGUCAGGGUUAUCUCUGUCCAGACACGCUAUCUGUGAACUUGCCUUGACAGGCACGAAUGGGAGACGAAGCUAGUGAAAAUGAAUGAUUGCUAAAGAUCCCCCCUUCCCCACCCCUGCCUUUUGUGUGCAUGCCUGUGUCUACGUGGUUUCAUUUCAUUGAUGGAUGAGCCAAAUGUAUGGUGGCUCUGUCAGGCCAGUGUGAUCUGGUGUAGAGUUCAGUGAGCCUUGCAAAGUUUAGGGUAUCUCGGGCUGAAAUGCCUUGCGCAGUCUGCCGAAUUUGAAGCUUGGCGGCUUCCAGGGAGCUGGUGUAUGUUGACGAUCUUGAUUGGUCAGAAAUGUUCCAGUGUGCUCAGCCUUAUUAGACUCAGAGGAGCUAGGAGAUUCUCUGGAAGUACGACAAACCAGGCUACCCUGGGAGUUGUCUUGGGAGUGGCUCACUUGGCAUGGUGGCUCUGGUCAGCUCUGAAGAGUCAGGGCCUGAAAAACCUAUAGACUAGGAUUGCUGAGACAUCCCCCUGUCCCCUAACAUCGCCCCCUCUCUGUUGGAGAGCACCUUCAAUUUCCUCCAACCCCAAGCAGGGUCCUCAGAGCCCUGUCUCCAUCAUCAGCAUCUCUGGGGGAGGGACACCCCAUGCCCACUCCCUCCUCCAUCCAUUCCUAGGUCUUCCAGACCCUGCUCUUCUCCAUGGCUUUGGGGAUAUCUGGCCUCCUUGUUUCUAUCCCUACAAAGGAGCUGGGAGGAGAGAGACCACCCAGAUGAUGCCUACUACAGCCUUCAAGCCUGGGAGGCCCCCCCUACCCCGUGCUAGAGAGCCACCCCAAAAUCAAAAUGUGAAAAUCCCUAGAAAGCAAUAGCCUUCGAGGUACCUCGCACUGACUCCCCCUCCCCCAGCCCUUCCACAGGAAUGGGAGGCUAUGGCUUGAGCACUGGGGUGACUUUUUUCCAUGUCCUCAUCUCCCCAGUGAGGGGCAGGCCCCAUUUCCUUGACACACCCCCAUCUCCCACCUCCUAUCGCUGCUGCCCCUUUAUCCCUAAUCUCCACCCUGAGCCCAGAUGGAGAUUUUAGUGCCAAAACAAUUCUUGAUACCACUUUGUACAUAUCUUCUACAGUUGGGGCUGCUGAGAUUGGAGGUGGGGGCCGGCCCACAGGGCCAUUGCUCCCCUCCACCUCUUAAAUGACCUUACAGUAUUUCAUGUAGCUCCACCUGCAUGUGGGUAGUAAAGUAUCUAGCUGGAAUCCCCCCCCCCCCGCGCGCGCGCGCCCGUAAAACCCUCAGGCUCCAUGAGGAGGGGAAGGAAUAGGGGUGAAGCAAUGUCCAGGAUGGGUAGGUGGGAUAAAGACACUCUAUUUGUAAAUCAUCUGUGCCCUCUCUUGGACAGCCUGCUUUCCAUAAGCCCAUUGGCUGGAGUCUGGGUCCAUUCCCUGUGUGACAUGCCCGUGUUCUCAGGGAUCCAUUCCCCCACCAGCCAGGGCUAUCUGAAAAGUAGUUUGCUAGCUUAGUAAGCUGGUCCACUCACCAUGUUGGUGAGUGAGGAGUGGCACACCUCCCCACCCGCAUUGUACCCUGGGAAAUUCCAUCAUCUUCCCUAUCCCUUGAAAAUCCCUUCUGAAAUCCAACCUCAGUCUUUCUGUACUGUAGUUGGUCCAGAAGGGAUACAUAAUGCAGGUCAGGGAUGAGAAUUACUUUUAAAAUAAUAGUAAUAACAAAGCUCAUUCCCCGCCCCUUCUGCCUGUUAGCCAAUCAGAUCGCAAAGGAUCUGACCGGCCUCCUUGCAUCCCACUCUUCAGCACCAGUAGGUGCUUAGUAAGAUAGUUAAGUGUUGCCUGCAUUGAACUGUCUCAUCUGCCCUCCUGCUUCCGAUACCCCUGCCCCCAGCAUUCUCCUCUGCCUCCCUAAGGCCCACUGGGUUUUCCUCUUGUGGUUGCCCCUCCCCCACGGUUCUCUGUCCUGUCUCUACCUUUGUCUGUAUUCUUCUCCUCCUGAAUUCUCGACUCUCAUUUCCCCUUUAAAAGCAAAAAGUGCCAAACUUCCUCGGAACUGAGCCGAUCUGGGGUGGGGGGAUGAGGAUCUUAGAUGGAGGGAGGAAACCACCUCUCUUAGAGGGGGGGGGGCCUUAAGAGGCAAAGAAAACACUUUAGGAUGCUGAGCUAAAUUGGAUCCCCUUCCUCGUUCCUCUCACCCUGAGUUUUUUCUUAGAAUCUUU